AGUAAAAUAAGGGAUGAAAUCUGACAUACAGUAGUGAAUUGUGGCAGUAAUGAUAUCAGGCAACCGCGGAUGUCAACGAAGAGGCUGAUACACAUAUACACCACAAAAUGGAUUUGGAUGCGAUCGAUCAGAUCCGCUGCCGCACACUCUCUGUUGCUUUAGUAAAGUUCAAAUGGGCCAUUUUAGGGCUUUGAGGCGAACCCAAAGCUUCAACCACGACCGCCCGCCCACCUGAAAUGAACAAAAGAAGGGUGACACACUUAAAUCUUGAAACAAAGUUCAUAUGAAUCCAGAUUUUUUUUUUCUAAAAAAAUGAGAUCCAGAAUUCUCCGUGUCAACUUCCUCAACUCCGGCACCAUCUUGAACGUUCUAUCUACUAGUACCAAACUCCCUUCAUCUUGAGUUCUUGACGCCUCAUGGUAAAAAAAGGAGGGGGGAGAGGGGGAAAGUAUCAAUGUAGCUGCGAAAUUGGAGGAAGGAGGGGAGUACUCGUAGAACAAUUCUCCCUCUAUACCAAAAUAGUUGCACGUCUAGUAGGAUUGUGCAUAUAUCAAUGUAGCUGUUAAAUUGGGGAAAGGGGGGAGUACUUGUAGAACAAUAUACUUAGGGCGUCCGCAAUGGUAUUCAAUUGCUAGCUAUUUGAUCUCUAGGAAGAAUGUUAUUGGUUCUCAAUGAUAAUUUGUAAAUAGCUACCUUAGAAAGUCACUAGCUAUUAGGAAGUUACUAGCUAUUGUGGAGAGUAUUGUGAGAGAGUUAUUUCUAGAAGAUCGUGCUAGAUUAGCUAUUUAUGAGUCGCUAGCUAUUAGGAAGUCGCUAGCUAUUUGAUCUCUCUCCUCGAUAGCCAAUGAAAGUGCGACUUUUUUAUUAUUUUUAUACAUCAUCUCGCUAGCUAUUUCUAAAGUACUAUUGAGAGCCAAUAGAAUUCCUUCUAGCUAGCUAUUUGAUAACCAUUGUGGAUGACCUUAGGAUGGUGCAUAUAUCAAUGCAGCUGUGAAAUUACAUUAUUGCCCCUAGAAAAAGCUAUCCGCCGCAGCUUCUGGAUUUUCAUGGACGUUGUUGGAUUUUUUUUUGUGAGAGAGAAGUUGAUUUUUUUUUUAGUUUGUUGGUCUGCUGAUGGAUCAGUGCGUGGCAGUGGGUGGUAGGAGCUGUUAGCCUGUUGCAUGAUGGAUCUCCUAAUCCUAGAUGAGACCUUUUAUUUUGAGAAAAAUUUAAAGUAUAGAAGUGCAAUACUCCCCUCUGUUCCAGAAAGAAAGAAUGUAAAUCUCGCUUCUCGAUAAAUCAAAAGAUAUUUAAGUUUGAUCAAGUUUACAUAAGAAGGUAUAUAUAGUUAGAUCUUCAAUUAAAUUUAUUAUGAAAAUAUAUUUCAUAACCUAUGAUACUUAUUAAUAUUAUAAAUAUUAAUACUUUUAAAUUAUAUUUGGUCAAAAAUAAAAAUCUUUGACUCCUCCGAUGAUUAUAUUCUUUUUGGGACGUAGUAUUUUGGCCUUGUUUAGUUCACCCUAAAAUCCAAAAAUUUUUUAAGAUUUCUCAUUACAUCGAAUCUUGCGGCACGUGCAUGAAGUAUUAAAUAUAGGUAAAAAAUAAUUAAUUGCACAAUUUACUUAUAAUUUGCGAGACGAAUGUUUUAAGUCUAAUUAGUCCAUAGUUGGACAAUAAUUAUCAAAUACAAAUGAAAGGGCUACAGUACCCAAAACCAAGGCCUUGUUUAGUUCCGAAAAAAAUUCGGAUUUCGGCAUUGUAGCAU
rnacentral:lncRNA from 1 species